rnacentral:rRNA from 1 species
GCUUGUCUCAAAGAUUAAGCCAUGCAUGUCUAAGUAUAAACACAUUUAUACCGUGAAACUGCAGAUGGCUCAUUAAAUCAGUUAUAAUUUAUUUGAUGAUCAAAACCUUACAUGGAUAACCGUAGUAAUUCUAGAGCUAAUACAUGCGUCAAGUCCUGACUCGCGCGCACAUGAAUAAUGUGUGUUGUGGGAAAGGAUGUAUUUAUUAGAUGUACAAACCAACGGGGACUUGCUACCCUGCUCGGUCUCUCCCCCCCCCUCCGGGGAGGGGAGGGUCCGAGUAUUUUGGGUGCGCGUAGUUCUCUAUUGUCGUGGGUGAAUCAUAGUAACUCGUUUUUCUCGGAUCGCAUAGCUUCAAGCUGGCGACAGAUCAUUCAAAUUUCUGCCCUAUCAGCUUUCGACGGUACUGUAGUGGACUACCGUGGCAUUAACGGGUGACGGAGAAUUAGGGUUCGAUUCCGGAGAGGGAGCCUGAGAAAUGGCUACCACAUCCAAGGAAGGCAGCAGG